rnacentral:rRNA from 1 species
CACCGCGGUUAUACGAUACGCCCGAGUUGACAACCUUCGGCAAAAAGCGUGGUUAAUUAACACUAAAACUAAAGUUGAACUCACUCUGAACCUGUCAAAAUAACCUGAAGUGGGGAAGCCCAACAACGAAAGUGACUUUAAAACCAAUGAAGCCACGAAAGCUAAGAAA